rnacentral:rRNA from 1 species
CCCUUAGAUGUUCUGGGCCGCACGCGCGCUACACUGAUGAAUGCAACGAGCUCUACCCUUGACCGAAAGGCCCGGGUAAACUUGUGAAACUUCAUCGUGAUGGGGAUAGAUUAUUGCAAUUAUUAAUCUUCAACGAGGAAUUCCUAGUAAGCGCGAGUCAUCAGCUCGCGUUGAUUACGUCCCUGCCCUUUGUACACACCGCCCGUCGCUCCUACCGAUUGAAUGGUCCGGUGAAAUCUUCGGAUUGCUGACCAAGAUCCAGCAAUGGAGCUUGGUUGCGAGAAGUUGAUUAAACCUUAUUAUUUAGAGGAAGGAGAAGUCGGAACA